AAAUUGAAGAGUUUGAUCAUGGCUCAGAUUGAACGCUGGCGGCAGGCCUAACACAUGCAAGUCGAGCGGAAACGAGUUAUCAGAACCUUCGGGGAACGAUAACGGCGUCGAGCGGCGGACGGGUGAGUAAUGCCUAGGAAAUUGCCCUGAUGUGGGGGAUAACCAUUGGAAA
rnacentral:rRNA from 1 species